CUAUUUGCAUGAUAACUAGAAGUUGAAGAUUACUUUCAAAUUUAUGAACAGAUUGAGAGUGACUCCAACGACAUCCUGCGCAAGAAAGUAGAAGAUAAGAAUCAUGAAUUGAGGCAGUUGAAUGGAGAGGAUCUGCAAGGAUUGACACUGCAAGAACUGCAGAAAAUUGAGGAAAAUCUUAAAAGGGGUUUGACCAAUGUUUCAAAAGUAAAGGAUGAAAAAGUUAUGCAAGAGAUCAGCAACCUUAAAAGAAAGGGAGUGGAACUAAUGGAGGAAAACCAAAGAUUGAAACAGGUACCAAGCCUUAUCCAGUUACACAGGCAAUCAUCGGAAUCCAUUAUUAGCAAUUCAUCUAAUCUUCCUGAAGAUGGUUAUAGUGACACAUCUCUCAAGUUGGGGUUACCUUAAAUUUCAAGAAAAUUGUAGAAUGUUAGAAGUGACAGCGUUCACUUCCUUUAUGUGUCUUACUGAAAACCAAUUGAAUGGAGUGUUUAUGUAAAGUAAAUUUAAGGGAUGCAUUUUGUACUUAACUCAUCCUUCUAUAUACUCAUGAGUUAGUGGUCGAUGCUUCGAUCAUGUCUAUAGUUU